AGCCACCGCGGCGACUUGGCGGCGGGUGCCAUGCGUCUGGAGCUUCACAUUCUCUGCCCCCCACCCACCGCGCCGGCGCUCCCUUGUCACGCCUCGGGAAGCGCGCACCUGCCAAGCAGGAUGAAUAAUCUGAUAUCAUGUGAAAUGAGGAAAUAAGAAGCUUUCUGCUGACUUCAUUUUGACCCAGGGUCCAAAAGGUGAUGUAAUCCUGUGGCAAGAAGAUUCAAAACUGUGGACUAUCUUGCAAAAAAUACAAGAAGAUAUUGAAAGUUUUCAUGAGUGCCUACCACCUAAUCUCAAACACUAUCAUUCAUAUGUGCCUCAUUGAGCAAAUCUUUAAUGAGGAUCUAUAUGCCAGCAAUAUCUUUUGCUUGGGAGCAGAAACAGAAAGUACAUGAUGGACUUCAUUGAAGGAUGGAGAUUUGGAAGACAUGAAUGGAUGAAGAACCAAUAGAGAUGGGGUUUCACCAUGUUGCCCAGGCUGGUCUCAAACUCCUGAGCUCAGGCCAUCUGCCCGCCUCGGCCUCCCAAAGUGCUAGGAUUACAGAAGGUGCCUGCUUCCCCUUCACCUUCCACCAUGAUUGUAAGUUUCCUGAGGCCUCCCCAGACAUGUGGAACUAACAGGUUUCUCUUAUUGCCUGGAUCCAAGAGCAUCUCCUGGGUUCUUCCUGUUAGAAUACUGAAUGUCCAUGGAGAGUUUAACAUAAGGAAGAAGAGGCCUGUCUCCCAGCUGAAACUGGUGCAGCAGAUCAUGCAAAGUAAAACCUCAGCAGCUGUGAUGAAGUAGAGCAGAGGGCCUGGGUGUCUGUCAGCUCCAAGCGGAAGAUUUCCCCAGCUUUCUAGAUUUCUGACUUCAUAUCUGUGGGAUCCACACAAUGGGGAGGUACUGGCCUUGGAAUCCAUGGUUCCCCAGCUAUCAUUUUACUUUAGAAUUACAGUGUUCUCUGUUAGUGUCAAGGGAAUGAACCUGACGAGAAAAGACCAAACAUAGGACUGUUACAGGGAAGAAAAAUAUGAAAAGACCUAAAGAUGCACGUCCUCAUUAUAUGUAAGGAAUCUAUUUCCUAGAAUCCUAUAAAAAGCUCAAGUGAAUUUGCUUCAGUUAAUAAAUGUGAUUUAAUUAUAAUGAUAAUGCCACA
rnacentral:lncRNA from 1 species